rnacentral:rRNA from 1 species
UACGGAGGGUGCAAGCGUUAUCCGGAUUUACUGGGUUUAAAGGGUGCGUAGGCGGACAGGUAAGUCAGUGGUGAAAUCCCCGAGCUCAACUUGGGAACUGCCGUUGAUACUAUCUGUCUUGAAUACCGUGGAGGUGAGCGGAAUAUGUCAUGUAGCGGUGAAAUGCUUAGAUAUGACAUAGAACACCGAUUGCGAAGGCAGCUCACUACGCGGUCAUUGACGCUGAGGCACGAAAGCGUUGGGAAGCAAACAGG